rnacentral:tRNA from 1 species
GCCCGGUUAGCUCAAUCGGUAGAGCGUGAGACUCUUACUAUUAGAGGAUCCAAAUCUCAAGGUUGCGGGUUCGACCCCCGCAUCGGGCU